rfam:Verticillium dahliae VdLs.17 supercont1.54 mitochondrial scaffold, whole genome shotgun sequence.
UAUGUUGUGGACUAAUGGGUAAGUCAUAAAUUUUUGAUAUUUACUAUUAAGUGUUCGAAUCACUUCAACAUAA